rnacentral:rRNA from 1 species
CCUACGGGUGGCAGCAGUGAGGAAUAUUGGUCAAUGGGCGAGAGCCUGAACCAGCCAAGUCGCGUGAGGGAGUACUGCCCUAUGGGUUGUAAACCUCUUUUGACGGGGAGCAAAAGCCGGACGUGUCCGGCUGUUAUAGUACCCGAAGAAAAAACAUCGGCUAACUCCGUGCCAGCAGCCGCGGUAAUACGUAGGGGGCGAGCGUUAUCCGGAUUCACUGGGUGUAAAUGGAGCGUAGACGGCCAUGCAAGCCAGGGGUGAAAGCCCGGGCCCCAAACCCGGGACUGCCCUUGGCAAUGCAUGGCUUGAGUGCGGGAGGGGAGGGCGGAAUUCCUGGUGUAGCGGUGAAAUGCGUAGAUAUCAGGAGGAACACCGGCGGCGAAGGCGGCCUGCUGGACUGCGACUGACGUUGAGGCUCGAAAGCGUGGGGAGCGAACAGGAUUAGAUACCCUGGUAGUC